UAGAGGNCAAGAGAGGAAAGAAGNNCUGCCGGUGGAAGGGUGAAAUCUGUGGAUAUCGGCAGGAAUACCAGUAGCGAAGGCGACUUUCUGGCUUGUCUCUGACGCUGAGGGACGAAAGCUAGGGGAGCAAACAGGAUUAGAUACCCUGGUAGUCCUAGCUGUAAACGAUGGGCACUGGGUGUUUCUGCUUUUAGCGGAAGCGCCGAAGUUAACGCGUUAAGUGCCCCACCUGGGGACUACGGCCGCAAGGCUAAAACUCAAAGGAAUUGACGGGGACCUGCACAAGCGGUGGAACACGUGGUUUAAUUCGAUGCUACGCGAGGAACCUUACCAGGGCUUGACAUGCUAGGAGUAUUCCGGUGGAAACGCUGGAAGACCGUAUCCAAUCGGAGCCUAGUACAGGUGCUGCAUGGUUGUCGUCAGCUCGUGCCGUGAGGUGUCGCCUUAAGUGGCUCAACGAGCGCAACCCUCGCCUAUAGUUGCUAUUUUUAAGCUUAGCUUAGGAAGCACUCUAUAGGGACUGCCCACGUUAAGUGGGAGGAAGGGGGGGAUGACGUCAAAUCCGCAUGGCCCUUAUGUCCUGGGCUACACACGUGUUACAAUGGCGUGUACAAUGGGAGGCUAAGUCGCAAGAUGGAGCAAAUCCCUUAAAGCAUGCCGUAGUACAGAUUGAAGGCUGCAAUCCGCCUUCAUGAAGUUGGAAUCGCUAGUAAUCGCGUAUCAGCUAUGGC
rnacentral:rRNA from 1 species